rnacentral:rRNA from 1 species
GCUAAACGCGAAGAACCUUACCAGGCCUUGACAUGCAGAGAACUUUCCAGAGAUGGAUUGGUGCCUUCGGGAACUCUGACACAGGUGCUGCAUGGCUGUCGUCAGCUCGUGUCGUGAGAUGUUGGGUUAAGUCCAUCAACGAGCGCAACCCUUAUGAGUAGUUGUAUUUCUCUACUCAGACUGCCCUGGUAACAGGGAGGAAGGAGGGGAUGAUGUCAGGUCAGUAUCUCCCUUACGUCUGGGGCUACAAACACGCUACAAUGGCCGGUACAAAGGGCAGCCAACCCGCGAGGGGGAGCGAAAUCCCAUCAAAGCCGGUCUCAGUUCGGAUUGGAGUCUGCAACUCGACUCCAUGAAGCUGGAAUCGCUAGUAAUCGUGGAUCAGCAUGCCACGGUGAAUACGUUCCCGGGUC